UCCUACCUGCACCUUCAGCCCUGGCCAACAUGAGCCGACAGGACCUCUGAUAUGGUGGUGGAUCUGCUGCUCUGCUCCGCCCUGCUGCUCCCUGACCGCCAUCGGAAUUGUUCCCACUCUAGAGCUUAUUCCAGUCCUGCCCCACUUCAACGAGCAGCUAAAGACUUCACAAAGAAAGUAAAGAAUCGAAGUUAUUUUAAUCCUAUGCAAAUUUUGAGUGAUUAAAUGAAUCUGGGUGGCUGGAUUCAAAAGAAGACGGAAGUUGAUCAGAAGACAGCAAAAGCUGUUGAAAUUUGCUCUUCCAUUUAACGAUACAGGGGCAGGAGCCCUGUGUGAUUUUACAACUGACCACCCAAUGGCUACAGGGUGAUAGCCAUUACUACAAGAAACUACAAGAAAGAAGAUUCCACCUAAACAUUAG